AAGUCAUUUCACUUCUCUUGGGACCUCAAUUUCUCUAACUUCAAAAUGAAAAUAUCUUUCAUAAUUACUGUUGAUGAUCAUGAAGAUACUUUCUAAAUUGUAGCUUUCUAUAAAAUGCUAGUUAUAAUUUUGUUAUUUUCUUUUUACUGCCCUUUUAUAAAAUAAAAAUGACAAAUGGGGAAGAACAGGUGAGUCUUUGAUGUAUUCUUAUUUUCCACAAUCUCAAUAAUGUAGUUACCGUCUUGUCCUGUGAUAGUCAUUUUUAAAGGAAGUUCUGUUAACUCAUUUUAUUUUCUUUUUUGACAGUUCUUUCUGAAGCUCUCACAGCUAUUUUCCUUUCCAUUUCUUCAGUUUCUUUCAUUCAAGUGGGAAAUUCAUAAGGAUCAAAGAAAAUAUCAAACAUGUAAGAAUUAGAUGAUCAGCACAUUUCAAAGAUUUCUGCCUAUGUCACUAUCACGGGGAAGAUCCUGAGAAGUUAUUGUAAAGCUCAGCACAUUAUGGCAGUUAGAAGAAGUUUUGAACAAUGUCUUUGCUUCCUUUUCAUCCUUAAUUCAUAAACUGCA
rnacentral:lncRNA from 1 species